rnacentral:rRNA from 1 species
AUUGAACGCUGGCGGCAGGCCUAACACAUGCAAGUCGAGCGGAUGAAGGGAGCUUGCUCCUGGAUUCAGCGGCGGACGGGUGAGUAAUGCCUAGGAAUCUGCCUGGUAGUGGGGGAUAACGUCCGGAAACGGGCGCUAAUACCGCAUACGUCCUGAGGGAGAAAGUGGGGGAUCUUCGGACCUCACGCUAUCAGAUGAGCCUAGGUCGGAUUAGCUAGUUGGUGGGGUAAAGGCCUACCAAGGCGACGACCCGUAACUGGUCUGAGAGGAUGAUCAGUCACACUGGAACUGAGACACGGUCCAGACUCCUACGCGAGGCAGCAGUGGGGAAUAUUGGACAAUGGGCGAAAGCCUGAUCCAGCCAUGCCGCGUGUGUGAAGAAGGUCUUCGGAUUGUAAAGCACUUUAAGUUGGGAGGAAGGGCAGUAAGUUAAUACCUUGCUGUUUUGACGUUACCAACAGAAUAAGCACCGGCUAACUUCGUG